rnacentral:tRNA from 1 species
GGGGCCGUCGUCUAGCCUGGACUAAGAUGCUAGGCUUGGGCCCUAGUGAUCGCGGGUUCAAAUCCCGCCGGCCCCA